rnacentral:rRNA from 1 species
GACGAACGCUGGCGGCGCGCCUAACACAUGCAAGUCGAACGAGCAAAGAGGAGCUUGCUUCUCUGAGCGAGUGGCGAACGGGUGAGUAACGCGUGAGGAACCUGCCUCAAAGAGGGGGACAACAGUUGGAAACGACUGCUAAUACCGCAUAAGCCCACGGGUCGGCAUCGACCAGAGGGAAAAGGAGCAAUCCGCUUUGAGAUGGCCUCGCGUCCGAUUAGCUAGUUGGCGGUGUAACGGACCACCAAGACGACGAUCAGUAGCCGGCUUGAGAGAGUGAACGGCCACAUUGGGACUGAGACACGGCCCAAACUCCUACGGGAGGCAGCAGUGGGGAAUAUUGCACAAUGGGGGAAACCCUGAUGCAGCGACGCCGCGUGAGUGAUGAAGUAUUCGGUAUGUAAAACUCUAUCAGCAGGGAAGAUAAUGACGGUACCUGACUAAGAAGCACCGGCUAAAUACGUGCCAGCAGCCGCGGU